GUCAGAUCAGCGGAGCCGGGGGGGGAGAAAGGGGGUUAGUGGCGCACCUGAUUAUAUUUUCUGUUUACCGUCGUCGUCGUCGUCAUCGUCAAACAACCAUGUUUUCAUUCAUCAAUUGUCAUUCGGUCUGCAGCUAUAAAAUUCUCAAACUAUAUUCAUCACCGGACUUGGAUUCAUUGUACGACGCGUAACUGCCUGGAGCCCAGUUAAGCCUCUUAGCGGCCUUUUAUAGGAAAACGGACGCUAUAUAUAGUAAACAGAAAUAAUCCAAAAACACCACGGGAUUCAACGUUGCUCUUAUCGCUUGGAUCUCGAUGUUUUGGACGGAACGAACUAUGCAACAGGGGACUCUUCUGCGGACGCCUGGGAUCAGACACAUAAUUGACUGCAGCAGCGGUGUAACGCGGGAAGUGACAGCAGCGCAUCACAGCCAUCAGAAUCGGCAAUAAAACCGCUGCACCCAAUGCUGAGCGUCCGAGUCCAUGCUUGAAGGAAACAAAACACAACGCAGGUUGCAGUGGUGCCGUGUACAGGAUUCAACUGAUUGGUCGCUGACCAACAACCCUUACCGGAGGGCCUGUUACCAUUCCCACACUGGAGAUCAGCUGAGAACACUUGGGUGUUGUUAUGUGGCCAUGCAGAUUGUCUCAUCUCAUCUCAUUUUCGUCCGCUUAUCCGGGGUCGGGUCGCGGGGGGAGCAGCUCAAGCAGGGGGCCCCAGACUUCCCUUUCCCUGGCCACAUUGACCAACUCCGACGGGGGGAUCCCGAGGCGUUCCAAGGCCAGUGUUGAGAUAUAAUCUCUCCACCUAGUCCUGGGUCUUCCCCGAGGUCUCCUCCCCACUGGACGUGCCUGAAACACCUCCCAAGGAAGGCGCCCAGUGGGCAUCCUUACCAGAUGCCUGAACCACCUCAGCUGACUCCUUUCUAAGUAAAGGAGCAGCGGCUCUAAUCCGAGUUCCUCACGGAUGGCUGAGCUUCUCACCCUAUCCCUAAGGGAGACGCCAGCCACCCUUCUGAGAAAACUCAUCUCGGCCGCUUGUACCCGCGAUCUUGUCCUUUCGGUCAUCACCCAGCCCUCAUGACCAU
ensembl:lncRNA